rnacentral:misc_RNA from 1 species
UACAGCAUAUUUUGGUAGGCCAUCAUUGAUUUUUCCCUCUCAAUUUUGUAAGUUUUAUCCUUUACCAAACGGGUUUCUAUCAUUCAAUAGCAAAUCAAGAUAAAUUUGCUAAAGGCCUCUCCAUCAGGCAGGAUCAUGUUGACCUUUGGGUUGUGCUAUAUGCACAUAUCUAUACGAUAAAUAGCUUCCAAGAAAAUUUUGAAGUUUCCAAUACAUGAAAUCGCUUUCUCAAAAGAGAAAGGCAGAGAAAUCUAGCCUACUAAAUGUAAACAACAUUAGGGCAGCUUAUCUUUCUUUUGAUACUUGAGAAGCUAAAAGGCUCUCAACACAGCUGUUUCAGUCGACCCUUUUCGCAGAACAACACAUACAACAAUUACUUGAAAGCCGUUAUCCGGUAUUCAGUAUUGGUCCUCGCAAGGAUCUUCAACGGGGACCCCAACGCAGCUUUUUACUGAAGUAAUGAAUUGCACCUGGCGGCACAAGAGCAUCAAAUAACGGCCCUUAUAAAAAAUGAUUCAGGCCUUGAUUAAUCUUCCAAUGAAUUGCUUCUGAAUCAGCUGGAUUCACAAAAAACUUGUCCCCAAAGAAAGAUCAUUCAAAUUCGAUAAAAUUUGUGCACGGGUUGUUCCGACCUGCUGAGCAAUCUCAAGUUGUUCCUCCAAUGGAAGCAUCUCAUAAUGAGAAAGCAGCUCACAAUCUACUAUGCUUUCAGGGCCAGGUCGGUGAACCCUUCCAUCUGCCUGAAACUGGCGGAAUGAUCUUGGAUUUAAGCCAGCAACAUGGGGAACAGCAUCGAUCAGUUUUUUCUGUAGUGACUGCAACCUACGAAAUGUGAGCUCGUCAAGAGGGGCCAAACAACCAAUGCUGCCAUCGAGAGUAAUAAACAAUAAAGCAAAGCGAUUGGUCUUAUCAGAGCCAGGAGCAGUUCCACUUCGAUCAGAUGUAGAAAGCAUUUGCAACCGUAUGAACUUAGUCACAUGGGCACCAACAUGAAAUUCAGCCCUUGAAAGCAGUUUCUGUCCUUUCCAGCUCUCGGACAUUUUUGGUGCAUAAUAGAAUAUCUGAAUGUUCUUUUGUUCAUCUGAAACCACAAGGCUAAGUGUACUUCCAUCAAUCAAAAACUCUGUUGCAAAACAAUCAAGUGAACCAAAAUCCUUUGCCAAUAAGCUGAGUUGAGCCCCCUGCUCCUUCCAACUAAGAAAGUAUAUGCUUUUGUGAAUAUCACCCAAUAGGAUAAAAUUCUUGACCUGCAAAAACUUGAAGAGCAUUAAUAUGGUGCAUUAUUAAGGAGGAAUAAACAAGUACAUUAAAAAAGGUUUAGAUCAUUAGAUUAUAAUAAAUGACACCACAAAUAUGUUGUGCCACUUGUAACCUAAUCACAUGUCGUCCUGCUCAUUACCUUAAUUAUAAAAAUUACUGAACAAAAACUAAACACUAAUGUUAACAUUUAACAAUCAAACCAAGCAUUUGUAGUUAAUAAAAACAAGCUGAACAUGCAAGAAAAUUUAAGAUAUUGCCCAGCAAAUUAGGAUACAUGAAUCUGGUCACUUCGAUCAAAUUAAUUUAACCAAAUUAAUCAUUUUUAAUCAAAAUGAUUUUCUUUUCCAUGAGCCGUGCUGACAAAAAUGAAGCCAGUAGAACUUCAGAUCAGAUUAUCUCACACCAAUUAAUAGCUACAAUAAAAGGACUAGCAUCUCUAAAUUAAUGAUAAUAACAGAUGUUGAUGUUCAGCAACACUUACGAUAUUUAAGCUUACAACAUAUAAUGGUGGAGCAUCAUAAAAAGCAACACCAUUCAACUCUGUACCAGUCCACUUGUGUAAAAUAAUUUUAGGACCAGAAGCUAUCAACAGAUGACCUUGUAGCGAGGCCAAAGCAGAUAUAGCACCUUUCAAUUCUUUAGAAUAGACUUCUGAAACCAAAACUUGAGAAUUAUCUGGAUUUUUCACCACAGAAAACAGAAGCACACGCCCUCUUGCUGCAACAUCCUCCCCUUGCAGAUAAGCGGUCCCAAUGGCUAAAAGUGUUUCAUUCUCUUUUGUAGUUGUAUUAAACAGUGUAACCACUCGAACAGUAAGUGCAUUUUCAGAACUUUGCAUUGGAAUUGUAGCCUUAGUUUGCCAAGGGCCACCAGGUCUCUCUGGUUCCAAGAUCCGAACCUCAAAUUCUUCUACAUUAUAAGUUUGAUGCAGUUCAUCAGGACUUAAAUUAUGAUUCUCAAUCUGGUGGCCAACUUCUUGAUCAACCAGUGACAAAAGAACUUGAUUCACCGGCUUCUGAACAGGAACAGAAACUAUAAGCGGGUAUAAGUUCUUCUCUGCAAAAUAGGUCACUUGAUGUGGAGUUCCCUUCAGUGGUACCUUUUGAACUGGCCAAUAAUUGUCAUAACUUGUUACGGAUGGCAAUUGACAAAUCUUCAAAUUACCCUGGGAAGUAACAUAAAUGAGUCCAUGAUUGCAGUUCACAUUGUGAAGAACAGUGAAGGCAACAAUUGAACCAUCACAUAACUGUGGAUGAACUCGCAUUCGCUCUCUAAACACCAUAAACCAAGCUGGUCUUGAUCCAGAAAGGAAAAACCCUUGAUAACCACUAAUAUUCUUGAAGAUGGUAAUCCUUUGGCAUGAGGUCUCACUUGAUGUUUCCUCCCUUGUGUAACUAUCCAACGGUACACGAACAAAUCGUAAAUUUCUAAGCCUUGAAGAACUAACAAUGCCUGGGCCAACAGAAUUUUGUGCAGAAACAGAAUCCUCUAUUUUAGAAGUACCAUCUGGAACUUCAAAAAGGUAGGCAUGGUAACAGAGUAUCGUCCCAUCAGUCAAUAUUCCAACAAGGAAAGGGCAACUAUGAUGUCCAGACCACAUCUGCAUAGCUAACUCCACAACCUUCAUGUUGUGAGUACUUUCUUUCUUGCCUAGGCCAGCCACUUCUUCAGAAGUUUUGUUAAACAUACCCAGUGAAUCUGUGGCUGGUUCCCGCACAUAGGUAUCAACAAGAUGGGUUUUUCCAGACACAAAUUUAUCAACAGAGAACACAGAAUUGAAAUUUGGCACAUCAAAUAUUUCGAGUGCACCAGUUUCAUAACAAACAAUACAAUAUAUGUCUCCCUGAUCGUGUGGGCCACCAUCAGCACCGUCUAUGGCCUCACUAACACCAGUAGAAAGCCAUGCAUCAGUACUUGCCUUCCGCAGCCAAGGCUCUGGUCCUUUAUCAUGAUACAGAGUGCAGGCAGAUACUGAUUUCCUGGAGUUUUCAAAGGCAGAUGGAGUAUUUGUGGAAACCAUGCAAGUAGAAGGAUCUCCAAUGAGAAGCCGAAUACUUCCAUCAGUCAUUCUUAUUAACACAUAUGGAUCAGCAAUAGAAACAGACAAAACUGUGGAACUCUCAGAACCAGAACCAGAUUCAGAGUUUGAAGACCCAAAGCUUAAAUUUUGAGUCAUAAAAGAACCAUCUAGAAUUCGAGCACCACGUUCAAAGACCUGAACAACUCUACGCCUUCCAAACAGAUUGCCUGCAGCAAUUGUCCUUCCUUGUACGAAAUAGUCCACACUUUCAGUGACUUCUGUCAAAUGAUCAGCAGUUUCAAGUACCAUUGUGCGAGCCUCCAUACUUAUGAUCAAAUAUGCAUGAUACUCAUCGUCAACUGCAGCCAUUCUAGAUGUAUCAACAUUAUGGCCACGUGCAUUUUUAUGGUAAACAGUCCAAAUUCCUCUACAACCAGGAAGGUCAACCUCUGUAAUCAUUUCUGGGCGAAUUGACUGCCGAAGAACACAAAGAGCACCAUUUUUCCCAUGACCAGAGCAGCAUACCAGCUCAUAGUUGCUUUGUUUGGCCAUUCCAGUUGCAUUUGCAUCAGCAUUAAUCCUUAGACCAUAUGAGAAGUCUUUCAAAGGACCAACAUUGAUCAAUGAAUCCCUCACGGAAAAUGAGAAAUUUUUCUGUGUUGAUUCUGUAUUGUUGGCAGUCGAACCAUACAAAGAAAGCUCCUCCCCACUAACCAUGUCUUGCAAACCGUCAGAAGGGGACCUCUUCAAUCGCUUUGUUGUAGGAACAUCACCUUCAAUAUCUCCAACCUCUUCUUUUAAACCAGAUGACACCAAUGAAGAUCCCAAUCCAUAAGUAAAUUGAACGAGCAAACUGUCCCCCAAACGACUGGCCAGAAAAAAUAAUGAACUCCCAAUUGUUGUGAUGUCCGAAGUAAGUACUGAAGCUUUAGACUUGGAAAGAUCAAGCCUCUGCACAACCCUUCCAUCAUAAACAAGGGUCAAUAACAAAAGUUCCCCAUUUUUGGUUGACAGCAAGGCAACAUCAUUUAAUAACCAAGCUGCCUUGGCGGCAUCAAGUUCCACGCUGAAACUUGCUCUUGGAAGCUCUUGACUGCUAUCAACAGAAACAGCAUAGUUGUUCAGGGCUAAUGCACAAGUGGCUGACUCACUGUGAUAGUGGAUGGUGUUUGCACAAAUAACAAGAACGCCACCAAUUGGUGAUGGCACUGCAAGCAACUUGUAAGCAUCAUGCGGAAGAUUCACAACUGACCAUAUGAGAGUAGGCUGCUUCAAAGUUGUGCUGAUACUAAGAGCAGCAAUCAUGCAAGUAUGAUGCUUCCAUGAGACACGCCCAGCCCAAGUAAGCUCCCGCUCAUGAAGGAUAACCACCACAGGCUCAAUGUAAUCAUGUACAAAUAUAAAAUCUUUUACAUGCUUCAUGUCCAAGUCUCGUAGAUUGAUAAUGUAGGAUGAUUGGAUUCGAGCAGAGAUAGCACCUCCUGAACCAAGAGCAUCAUCAUCUCCAACCAAACCAGAGACAGCCUGAGCAGCCUUAAGUAUUAUCAUCUGCAAAUCAUAAACAAGAACACCACCACAUCUGCCUUGAGGAUCAACCUUUACUGACGGGCCUCUUGCAAAAGAUUCUCUACCUCUUUUCAAAUGAAGCCAAUCUGGACCUUCAAAACAGUGCAUAGAGCUUGUGCGGAGUCCAUGUAUUGAAUCAUCAAACUCCAAAACUGAAAUCUUUGCAUCUUUAAAUGCCAGAAUAAUAGAAUCUCUUCUUCUAGAACCAUCACCACUUUCUAUAGGCAGCACUGCCAUUGACUCCACGUUACCAUGCAACCUGUAGUGGCAAACAAGCUCGAGCGAAGCCCCGGAGACCCCAUCCAUGACCCCACCCCGCUUCGGUUCACGGGAAUUUCGAGACUCUCUGGUGCCUUCUUCUUCAACUCUAACCACAUACACUUCGAGAACAUUACCGGCGGUCACAAUGAGGUUGGGAACGGAACCAAUUCCACGCUUCGCAGGCCAUUCGGACUCAAUAUCGUCGGACUGCAUCGAAGGAAUUUGAGGGGCAAGGUCUGCGCGGCAAUGCGUGAUGAAGCCGGAGGCGCAGUUCUCGAUGCCGGUGGGCAAGUGCAUCAUCUUGUAGGCAGCGAAGCUCAUUGUUGCGGUGAUUUGGGGUUUUAGGGUUUGAAAUUGGAAAGAGAGAGUAGAGGGAGGGGCCGGAGAAUGGUUAGAGUGGAGGUAUUGGGAGUGUGAAGAUAAGAGGGAAAUGGCCUAUCCUCAGUCUGUGUUUUGCGAGAGGGAAAUGGCCUUGCAGCAGUAAAGAUCGACAGCAAAGCGGCUAGUUUGUUUGUGGGAGUUUUAAAUUAAAAGUUUAAAACAGCAAUGGCCGAUGGAGCGGGCGGGGUUUUAGGGCGAGAUAGAGUAGUACAGUAGUGAACUAGUGAUGUUGUAGGG